UACGUAGGGGGCAAGCGUUGUCCGGAUUUAUUGGGCGUAAAGGGCGUGUAGGCGGUUUUACAGGUCCGUUGUGAAAACUCGAGGCUCAACCUCGAGACGCCGGUGGAAACCGUAAAGCUAGAGUCCGGAAGAGGAGAGUGGAAUUCCUGGUGUAGCGGUGAAAUGCGCAGAUAUCAGGAGGAACACCCGUGGCGAAAGCAGCUCUCUGGGACGGUACUGACGCUGAGACGCGAAAGCGUGGGGAGCAAACAGG
rnacentral:rRNA from 1 species